GAUGAACGCUAGCUACAGGCUUAACACAUGCAAGUCGAGGGGAAACGACAUCGAAAGCUUGCUUUUGAUGGGCGUCGACCGGCGCACGGGAGAGUAACGCGUAUCCAACCUGCCCACCACUUGGGGAUAACCAUGCGAAAGUAAGACUAAUACCCAAUGAUAUCCCACGAAGUCAUUUGAAUGGGACUAAAUUUUUAUCGGUUAUGGAUGGGGAUGCGUCUGAUUAGCUUGUUGGCAGGGUAACGGCCAACCAAGGCAACGAUCAGUAGGGGUCCUGAGAGGAAGCUACCCUAGAUUGGAACCACGACACGGACCACAAUGCUAGGCAACGCAAGAGUGUGUAAUAUUGGGGGCGGGGCGAGGGCCUGAAACCGCCGAGUGGGGUGCAGGAAGACGGCGAUAGGGGUUGUCAACUGCUAUUGUAAGAGAAUAAUGUAAGUAACGUGGGACUUUUUGACGGUACCUUAUGAAUAAGGACCGGCUAACUACGUG
rnacentral:rRNA from 1 species